GAUGAACGCUGGCGGCGUGCCUAAUACAUGCCAGUCGAGCGAACAGACGAGGAGCUUGCUCCUCUGACGUUAGCGGCGGACGGGUGAGUAACACGUGGAUAACCUACCUAUAAGACUGGGAUAACUUCGGGAAACCGGAGCUAAUACCGGAUAAUAUAUUGAACCGCAUGGUUCAAUAGUGAAAGACGGUUUUGCUGUCACUUAUAGAUGGAUCCGCGCCGCAUUUGCUAGUUGGUAAGGUAACGGCUUACCAAGGCAACGAUGCGUAGCCGACCUGAGGGAGUGAUCGGCCACACUGGAGCUGAGACACGGUCCAGACUCCUGCGGGAGGCAGCAGUAGGGAAUCUUCCGCAAUGGGCGAAAGCCUGACGGAGCAACGCCGCGUGAGUGAUGAAGGUCUUCGGAUCGUAAAGCUCUGUUAUUAGGGAAGAACAAAUGUGUAAGUAACUAUGCACGUCUUGACGGUACCUAAUCAGAAAGCCACGGCUAACUACGUG
rnacentral:rRNA from 1 species